rnacentral:rRNA from 1 species
GACGUAGGGCGCGAGCGUUGUCCGGAUUUAUUGGGCGUAAAGAGCUCGUAGGCGGCUUGUCGCGUCGACUGUGAAAUCCCGCGCUCAACCGCGGGUCUGCAGUCGAUACGGGCAGGCUAGAGUUCGGUAGGGGAGACUGGAAUUCCUGGUGUAGCGGUGAAAUGCGCAGAUAUCAGGAGGAACACCGAUGGCGAAGGCAGGUCUCUGGGCCGAUACUGACGCUGAGGAGCGAAAGCGUGGGGAGCGAACAGG